GACGUAGGGCGCGAGCGUUGUCCGGAUUUAUUGGGCGUAAAGAGCUUGUAGGCGGUUUGUCGCGUCUGCUGUGAAAAUCCGGGGCUCAACCCCGGACUUGCAGUGGGUACGGGCAGACUAGAGUGUGGUAGGGGAGACUGGAAUUCCUGGUGUAGCGGUGAAAUGCGCAGAUAUCAGGAGGAACACCAAUAGCGAAGGCAGCUCGCUGGGACGUUACUGACACUGAGGCGCGAAAGCGUGGGGAGCGAACAGG
rnacentral:rRNA from 1 species